rnacentral:rRNA from 1 species
UACGUAGGGUGCGAGCGUUAAUCGGAAUUACUGGGCGUAAAGGGUGCGCAGGCGGUUAUAUAAGACAGAUGUGAAAUCCCCGGGCUCAACCUGGGAACUGCGUUUGUGACUGUAUGACUAGAGUACGGUAGAGAGGGGUGGAAUUCCUGGUGUAGCAGUGAAAUGCGUAGAUAUCAGGAGGAACAUCGAUGGCGAAGGCAGCCCCUUGGACCAGUACUGACGCUCAUGCACGAAAGCGUGGGGAGCAAACAGG